GACGAACGCUGGCGGCGUGCUUAACACAUGCAAGUCGAACGGAAAGGCCCCUUUGGGGGUACUCGAGUGGCGAACGGGUGAGUAACACGUGAGUAACCUGCCCUUGACUUCGGGAUAACUUCAGGAAACUGGGGCUAAUACCGGAUAGGAAUCCUUGCUGCAUGGUGGGGGUUGGAAAGCUGCGGAGGUUUUGGAUUGACUCACGGCUUAUCAGCUUGUUGGUGGGGUAGUGGCUUACCAAGGCUUUGACGGGUAGCCGGCCUGAGAGGGCGACCGGCCACAUUGGGACUGAGACACGGCCAAGACUCCUACGGGAGGCAGCAGUGGGGAAUAUUGAACAAUGGGCGGAAGCCUGAUGCAGCAACGCCGCGUGCGGGAUGACGGCCUUCGGGUUGUAAACCGCUUUCAGCAGGGGCGAAGCUUGUGGUGACGGUACCUGCAGAAGAAGCACCGGCUAACUACGUG
rnacentral:rRNA from 1 species